UCCAUGGAAUUACAUUCCACACUCCACGGCCCAAAAUACUUAAAUGUUUUUUUUUUCUUUAAUUGAAAAUUCGAACCAGAGCAACUCUCACUCUCACUGCCACCGCGAGUUCAUGUCAGUGAACAACAGCACAUCAGGCCGUCCGGCGUGGCCACUGCCCUCCCGUCCGCCGCACCAUUCGAUUCCGGUUCCAAUAACACCAGUGCUACCUACAGUCUCCACCACGACACAAGUCCACACUUUAUCCUCUCUUAAGAGUGAUGGUGGAAACAAAGAGACAUAUUGUGUUUCCAUUAGUCUAUCGAUUAUUGAAGCUAGCAUUGGUUUUACCUAUUGAAGAUGCAACAUGGGGGUUUCUGAAGAUGUCAUGAAGGAGACUCUAAAUUAACAAGUUUGAAAGCGAUUUUGGGUUUAUGUUUAUUAUAUUUAUUAUAAAAUUUGCUGUUCAUGUUAAGAGCAAAACAGUCGCUAUAUCCUAAAUGGUGAUUUUGUGUUCCUCAAUUGAUGGCUUUACUUUAAUCUGAAAACUAUCAACUAAAACCUUCAUUAUGUAUUUUUAUCUUUUUAAAUGAAAUUUUAUCAAAAUGUUUUGCUA